rnacentral:rRNA from 1 species
AUUGAACGCUGGCGGAAUGCUUUACACAUGCAAGUCGAACGGUAGAGGGGGCAACCCCUCGAGAGUGGCGAACGGGUGAGUAAUAUAUCGGAACGUGCCCAGUCGUGGGGGAUAACGUAGCGAAAGUUACGCUAAUACCGCAUACGAUCUACGGAUGAAAGCGGGGGACUCGCAAGAGCCUCGCGCGAUUGGAGCGGCCGAUAUCAGAUUAGGUAGUUGGUGGGGUAAAGGCUCACCAAGCCAACGAUCUGUAGCUGGUCUGAGAGGACGACCAGCCACACUGGAACUGAGACACGGUCCAGACUCCUACGGGAGGCAGCAGUGGGGAAUUUUGGACAAUGGACGCAAGUCUGAUCCAGCCAUUCCGCGUGCAGGAUGAAGGCCCUCGGGUUGUAAACUGCUUUUGUACGGAGCGAAAAGGCUCUCUCUAAUACAGGGGGUUCGAUGACGGUACCGUAAGAAUAAGCACCGGCUAACUACGUG